CUGGGAUUAGAGGCAUGACCCACCACGCCCGACUAAAAUGUUUAUUAUAGUGAAAUUUGAUUAGAGACGUGAAUGAUCUAAGGGAGAAAACCACAGAAAAAUUUUGACAAGAAGGGUUUUUGCAAGAUGGCAAGAACAGUGUCCCUAGAGGAGGAAUAAGCACACAUUUGGGCAAUGCUGAGAAUGCUAGUCGGCCAAAGAAUAAAUGAAGAGAGGAACGGGCUGGGAGAAUAGGAGAAGAGGUCCAAGACGCAGGCAGGGGUAAAUCUGGGAGAGCUUUUUAUCUAUGGCAAGGAGUUUGGACUUUAUUCUGAAUGUAAUUGGAAACCACUGGGAGGCUUUGAUCUAUGAUAUGACUUCAUGUCUUAAAAAAAAAAAGUCACUAGGACACUUCUGUUGUGUACUGGCUAUUGAUCUUGCAGCAUAACAGGAAUAUAACCCUGGAUGUCAGUAAGUUAGCUUUCAGGAUACUUCAGGAGGCUUAGCCUAGGGAGGUUGCUUAAGGUUGUGAGAAGGGGUCGAGUUUAUACUGUGCUUUGAGCAUCAAUAUUAGGAUCUGAUGUUGAUGGAGCAGAUGGGAUGUAUCACUAAGAAAAAUAAGGAUGACUCCAUGGAGAAGCAGGUUUUGGAGGGAAGUCUAUCGUUCUGGUUCGGACAUUUGAAGUUAGGCAUACCCAUUAUUCAUCCAAGUGGAGAUGGCUUAUAGAUGGUUGAACAUACCAGUCUGGGGCUCAGGGAACAGUCAGGGCUGUGGGUAUCACUGAAAGCCAUAGGUUUAUGUAAUAUUCGCUAGUGAGUGAAUAUACAUAAAGAGAAGAGGGCCAAGGAUUUAGCACUGGGACAUUCCAACAUUUAAAGGACAGAAAGAAUAUGAGAAGUCUGGAAAAGUGACUGAAAACAAGCAUUCAAUAUAAUGCAAGGAAAACCAGGGGAAUGGAAUAUCCUAGAAGAUGCAUGGAAAAACUUGUUUCAGAAGUAGAAAGACAACCUUUAAUGCCCAAUGCUGCUGAGAUCAAGUCCCUGAACAACCAGCCAAGACAGUAACUACAGCCUGUGGACAUUUCAUCCAGGCCACUUCAUUUUUCCUACAAAGUAGACAACCAGGUGCAUCAUGCCUAAAGUUCUGCCCACUGGGAAGAAUACUCUUCACUACUGUCUUUCAAGGUCAUCCCUGAGUUAAGCAGCAGAGCAUCUUCAUUUCAUCUGUGCAUAUAUUAAGCACUAGCUUUUUCCUCCUCUGCUAGCUGGCCAUACAGGACUCUGUACAGCCAUAGGUAUGAGCAACAGGUAUGAAUAAGAGACACCAGUACAAUGGUGGUGAUGACAGGAGUCUGCUCUUUGACCCUGCUCUGGCCUGAUCCCAGCUGUACAACUUCUCCCUUACAAUGUAUUGCUGGGCCCACUGAACCUUAUUUUUGGGGAAGCCUCACAGAGCCCAGCUCAUGAUAGUUAGCUCUGACUGCAUAAUCAAUUCAUGCCGAGUGGUCACAUGUUCAUUCUCUUCUAGAGCCCAGGAGCAUGUCAGCUCCUAUUUUUUUUUAAGAGGUAUAUAAUUUUUAUGCUAAAGACAUCAUGGUUUUGCUUCAGAAACUAGGGGCUCCAUAUUAUCAUCAUUCUCCUGGGGAUUGCCAUAAAUUCCAUGUGGUCUCAUUUUUAAACUACAGAUACAUCUAAAACCAGAGUCUAUAAUCCCCAUCUCAGAUGCUGCUUCCUGAAGAGCCCAACUGCAGCAGGCCUCUAAUGUCUUUCAUCUUUUAAGUUUUAAAGCAAUAGAUAUGCUGUAAUGAAACCAUUAUUCCCCUUACAUAAUAAAGCCUAGACGAAAACUUGAAAUCAUUUAUUCAAUAAAAUAUAAAAUUAAAAUAAUGCAGCCUCAUUAUACUAGUACUAACUUGCUGUUUUUUUGUUUGAUUUUUAUUUUAUUUUUUUAAAUCAGGAAGAUUACACCACUGAGGCUUCAUUGAUAUGUAGUACAUUAAGAGUGAGAGUAGAUAGGUUAUUGUGACAAAUGACAAUGGUAAAUACUAACAAAUUGUUACAGUUUACUCAGUUGAGGGCCACACAGUCAGUUUUAAGAUAUUUUGUCACAUUAAUUGCUGAUAAAUAACCCCAAAUAUGCUAUCAUGUAGAUUUGGGAUUGAAUUUACCUUUUCAUUUUUAAACAAAAUAAUCUCAAAGCUAGAAUCUGUUUAUCUGGAUAAUCUACAACAAAAUCUAGAAGCUAGAUCCAUAACUUUGACAUAUUUAAUGUGUUUUCUAGAUGAAAAGCUAUUGGUCUUUAAUUAUCUCUCAAGCCAACUUAUUUAAUAUAACACUAUUUUGCCAAAAAGUUCAUGUGACACAACAGAAAAAAAAACCCAUUGAAAGCUUAAUCAUAUUUUCUUUAGAACAUAUUAUAACAUAUUAUAAUUCUAAGGUACAGUUUUAAAGGAAAUUUCUAAAAGAAAGAAUGUU
rnacentral:lncRNA from 10 species